AAAAAAGCAGGGGUCUGUUGCCUCUGUGAACAGGCCUCUCGUAAACGUCAGGGAUAUCAGUCUCAUUGUUAUUGGGUGAACCUCUGUUUGUUGUUUGUGAUUGAAGGUUCAGUAAAUGAUGGAACAUUU